CAUUAAACACAUGUCCUUUAAAAAGCUAUACUAAUAUAACGUUUCAGAAUGCAAUAUACUAUUUAAAUAUAUUUUGUUAGUCCAUUAUAUCAAAAAAUUAAUCUAUAAGAGAAUUCACUUUUCCCCUCUGUGCAGUCCUGCAUACUGUCUCAAUUCUGACAGCAUCACAAUUUUCUACCCUAUGCUACCAAGAGUUCCCUCUCAAGAGUAUGGAAGGACCACUGUGUCUGUUUCUCAAAACACUCAGUUUUGAGAAAAUGUAUAAAUAUGUAAAGUAGGUAAUAAAAUUCACAGAUCAUUUAAACUCCUAAACUGCUACUUAGAAAUUCUGAAAUUAGAAAUAGUUACAUUAUUUAAGCAACUUUGAGAACACGGCUGAUUGCAAUUUAAAGUAGGCAAUUGAGUAAUUGCAGACAUACUGUUCAAGCAUGUUUGUGUGCCAAAUCUCAUAUCAAAUGACAAUUAUAAACUCUAGUUGCAAUUUAUAAUAAUGUUGUCUGGCUUAGAAUGGUAGCAUUUGGUGCAGAGUACUGAUGAUUACAUUAUUUCCUAUAUAUGAUGAUUACAUUAUUUCCUAUGUAUGGAAGUUUACCAUCAGGGCCAUUUGAUCGAGGUAGGAGUGACAGAAAGAACACAGUCAAGAUUUCCAAGUCACGAGAAGGACAGCGACUGCUUGUGAAGGACUAGCGACAAACUUGCAAAAUGUAAAAGGAAAGGGGCUGCUCCUUUAAGACGCUCUGGUCCAUGGAUGAGAAGACCUCUGUGUACACCAGAUCAGUAGAGGCGUCAUAGAAACCAGGAGCAAGCAAGGUGCACCUUGGGAGUAAUUGCAGUUCCAGUCAUUUGACUUCAGCCACCUGUAAUAUACAAUGAGUCCUUGCAUUUUGUGCACUUUCAUUUGUCUGGUGAUUUCUUCUCAUUGUUGGUUUAAAGGUAUCAUUGUGCAGCAAAUUGAAAGUCAAGGGACAAUCUGGUAUUCGUAAACAGAUGUGCUCUGAGAACCCUACUUCAAUAAACUUUUAAUACUAAAUUGUGACUCAUACUGCAAAGCGACUGAGUUUUCUCCCUA
rnacentral:lncRNA from 1 species